rnacentral:lncRNA from 1 species
CCACUGUGAUGUACACCACAACACUUGAUCAUACAUUUGAUUGUAAGUCAUGAUAGAGGACCCAUUUGAAUAUAUCAGGAUCAUAAUUGAACAUUAGGCGCUAAAACCAUAUAUAAAUAGGAUGUCUUCACCUCUGUAAGCAUCAAAUAGUAAUGAGAAAAUGUCUAUUUUCAUCAAGCCUGCUUGGUAGAUCAGGAAACUAAAAAUAGACAGAACAUAAAAUCUCCUAUUUGAACAAUAGCAGACAGAACAAUUAGCAGGACCCAGAACCAAAACGAAGGAACUUAAAGCUCAAAUAAAGCAGCCAGAAGGUCAGUGAUAAUGAUAUCUAGGUAUCUCGACAGAGUAUUGAAAACAUCAUUCCCGCACUUCUCUUUAUGAGCAAGAAAGAGAUUUCAAGAAAAUAACCAAAAAUUUCAGCUUUUGACAUAUUAAUCUUGAAAUUCGUGGGAACCAGGCAAGUUAACUGUAUUCUGGAACAUAAUUUUGAAGAUUAACCCAAGAAAUAAGUAGUCAAUUUUAAAUUCAACGCGAUCCAAAAGCAUAAUCCAGUCCCAUUGAGCAUGCAUUUGAACUGCAUACUGGCUUUAGCAAAAAUACAAGUGAGUUGAAUCCAAAAUUAUCAUGUGCAGGAUAAUAUACCUCUGUUCUCCAGGUAUAACAGCUUCAUGUGCAGAUCAUCAACCAUUGUAUGGGAAGUGAUGGAAGCACUCCCACCCAGUGGAUUCCUUCUCAUUUCCCUCUCUAAAAUAUCGAUGCAUAACCUGUCUUUGUUUGCUUCCUGCCCUUGCUCUGUUUUAGCAUGAUAGUCUUUUGGCCUUGUCAACCUCCGGCAGAUACUAACAGCACUUUGCCCAUCUGAUGUCAAGUCCAAAGCAGAUGCUCCUUUGGCCAGCAACGAAACUAUCACUGAUGGCUCUUUCCGCAUUGCAGCAAUGUGAAGAACUGUGUAACCUCGCGAGUUUCUAAGAUUGACAUUAGCAAGACCAAGGCUAAGCACCUCAGACAUAAACUUGAGAUCACAGUAUGACGCACAAUAAUGGAGAGCGUUAGCAUCAUCUAAGGAUAUAUCAGACUCAGUCAGGAGAAGUUUCACAAGUUCAACAUCAUCUGAGUCCAAUGCCAUGUGUAUCCUCUUGAUUCUCUUUUCACGUAGGGGGUCCCCAGCCUCUGUGUUGUUCUCAUCUUCAGAAAUAGGUUUGCGGCGGAGCUGUUUAAUUUUGUCUGCAACUUCAUGGGGAAGCUCUUUCUCUAUAGAUAUGUUGUCAAGAUUAGACACUGCUAUUCUAUCAACACAUUGUGCAAUAAGCUGACUUGAUUGACAAUGGAAGGCAACCACAAGGAUUGGGAUCACAUCCUCCGCAAGAGCUUUCCGAACAAAGUUAAGAAGGCGUCUCUGAAAAAACAUGCCGAUUUGGAUCACUAUAAUUUUCUUCUGCUUUUUAUAGAUCCCAAAGGACAGUUUGGGAGAUGAAUAGAAGGGCCCAAAACCUAAUUUUUCUUGUCAAGUUAUUCUUGAUAAUUUCCUCAGCUAAUAAAAUGGCAUUUUAUAUAGUUACUGAAUGCCAGAAUCCACGAGGAAAUACUACAACAUAAUAGUAGAGAAAAACAACCAUUCCCAAGUUAUUCAUUAGGCUUGGGCAUUGACAUCCACAGUCCAGCAUAGAAAUCAAAUGAAUUAAUAUAUCAGAUCAUGCAUGCACUGCUUGAUACGAAUCAUUUGAAAUAUUCACACCUUGGGUGAAGGUGGCAAAACAGGUUGGAUCUCCAAUUCUCAAAGUUUAUUAACUAUAUUAGCAAAAGAUUAGCUAGGGUAGACAAAUACCACACAACUGUCAUGGCAAGUUCAAUUCCACCACAAGAAUCAAACUAUAAGCAAAUUACAGAAUCAGAACGGCCUAGGAGGCGCCAUCACACCUCAUCAAGCAUGCAAACAUCAUACAUAAUGAAUUGAAAAAUCUGUAUCACACUACAGUAAAACAAACUAACCUGGAAAAGUGAAACCAGCUCUGGAACUUGAAAUAUGGAUGAUGCAUACAUCAAUUCCACUGCAAAAGUAAUCGCAGGUCUACACGCAUCAUGAGCGCAUACAUUAUCAACACAUGUUGAGACUUCCAUUGGAGAUGGCUUGAGUUUUCCAGUGUACAAAUAGCUCAAGAAAAUUAGGAAGGCUUCAUAUCCAACAUUUCCAUAAGGUAACAAUUCACUCAUGCAAUAUCUUGUUGGGCAUUGGAAUGGGAGUAGAAGGCAUUGCAAACAUCAUAUCUACACAAAUGGAACUUCUGUGCUCUGCUGCUUUAAAAGGACCUGUAACUCUUCGUAGACAAUUCAAAGAUAAGAAAGAUAGUUUAUGCCAAAUCCUCAUGGAAAACCCACUAGAGCUGUUCCAUUUGGAUUCUAAAUCAGAAGUUGAAAGCAGCAAAAUGUUAUCCUCCCAGGGUCCUACUAACAAAUUGGAGAAAACAGCAUUCUUGUUGAGAUUGGGGUAUGUUGAGAACUCAGAUGAGAUGGCAAGAGCUCUAAAAAUGUUUCGAGGUAGAGGAGAUCAAUUACAAGAGAGGUUUGAUUGCCCGGUACAAGCUGGUUUGGACUGCAAUGUUGUCUCCAGCUUCAUCAAACAAGCUCCCAUGGUGCUAAACCAGACCAAAGAUGUAAUUGAAAAGAAGAUUGAUUGCCUGACAAACUUAGGCUGCUCGGUCAACUCACUGGUGGCAUUCCCAUCAUAUUUAUGCUACGACAUGGAGAGGAUUAAUCUUAGAUUUAGAAUGUAUACUUGGCUGAAGGAAAAGGGUGCAGCAAAACCCAAAUUGUCCUUGAGCACUAUCCUUGCAUGUUCAGACGCACGAUUCAUAAAAUAUUUUGUAGAUGUCCAUCCUGAAGGACCAGCAAUGUGGGAAAGUUUAAGGAACACGUCAGCUUCAAGCUAAGGCUAGUUCAACUUUUAAGUUUGUGUACAGUUUAUUUUUAUUGUUUAGUCAAACUGAUGCCAGUCAUUCAUUCCUACCGAUCUAAUUGCUGAACAUCUUUCUCUUUUCCAUACUUUUUAAUAAUUUUCUUAUAAAUCAUCCAUCUCAUGUUCUCCGUAGCUCACAAUAAGAUGGUUCUUGGUGUAGUUCAACUUGCAGAUUUUAGAUGGCACACAUUAAUGCAUGCACAAGGAUUUCAAUUUGUCUCGCAGCAUAUCUUCUGUGUUUGCAUGUGUGGCCAGCCUGCUAAUCAAAAUGUCUCUUUUUUGAAAAAUUCAUUUAAUUUAUGGAGGUUAUUUGUUGUUUUAAUGUUUUAGGAUUCUGAGGAAUUUCUUCAUUCCAGAUAAUUAUAAUAUGACUUCUUUUCCCUUCCACUUCAUGUUUGCUUCCAACUUUAUUUUCCUUUUAAUUGCUUGUUCACCACAACGCCAAGCAUUUUACUGAUGUCUUAUAGGUUGAAAGAUGAAUUUGUAUUUUCCAUCUGGGAAAUAAUGAUCAUCUAGUUGCAACUCAGAAAAACAAAAAGCUACAGAUUUUCUUGCAAUAACCGAAGUUUCAGUAGUGAUUUUCCAAUUGUCAUCUAUCACAAACAAAAGGACUAUGACCAAUUCAUGAGAUUUAUUCUUUAUUAAAUAUUUUCUUUUCAUCAACCUCUGCUUGACAAGAUUUGUGCCAAAAUAACAGAUGACAAGAAGAACAAAAGGCGGGAAAGCAUUCAAGGCUACAAAUUAUUCCAUAAAUAGAUUCCAGCUAUCAUUUGUAUGAGACUUCAAGUUCUUCAACCUAUGUGACUCUCCAUUGCAGAAUCUGGAUCACAUGUUAUCCUGCAUUUGAUCUCUCAGCUGUGCACAAGUCUCGUCCAGUGAUACAUCAGUCUUAGCAAUCAAAAGCGUCAGACGCCACACCAUCGAAAUGAGGAACAAUCAUGCUCGCAAUCAACACGGAAACCAAAAAUUUCUUCAUUUUUCUUCUCUAAAAAAAUGUAAGCAUUGUGAUCCCCCUUCCCGCAUCCAUUUAUAGAUUUAAUGUUAGACUUGCCCGUUAGUUUGGGUUGGAACUACGAAAGUACCAUCCCCAAGAUCCAUCCUCCAUCAGCUAUCCAUGUUGAAAGCUUUAGCUGACAAAUACCAGGGAGUGAAUCAAGGAUAAGGGUAUCUAUACGUCAUAAGGUUUUGACUACACGUCAUAGCAGAGUGCUCCAGACAAUAUGCAACUGUAUCAGUGCAUGUGGCUGUGUCAGUUCCAUCUUGGCGGUGUAACGUGGGUGUGCGAGCCCUAUCCAUAUUUAAUGUACAAAUGCAAUGUUAAAUCAUAUUCUUCUAUUUUCUCCAUCGAGCACUAUCUCCUCCUCAUAUUUUAUAGGUUAACUAGAUAGGCACCCAUGCAUCAUUUUUUUCUAUAAUUACUUUCUAUAAUUUUAGUUUAUUAUAAAUAAUGCAAUGAUUGUAGAUAAAAAUCUAAAACUUAGGGUAAAUUUAUGAAGCAAUUAUUUCAAGAAAAAAAUUAUUUAUAAUUAAUUUUUAUAGUCUUGAACUCCAGGCUAUAGUUAAUUUUUGUAGCCUUGAACUAUAAGUUUUCUUUCACCCAAUCAAAGAAUCUUAAAAGUUUGCAUUUCCUAGCUUCCAAGAUAAGAAAAUAAAGGGAGCACGGUAUUUCAUAUAUAUAUAUAUAUAUAUAAUUGUUAAUUAUAAGAUAAUAAAUUCGAAAUUUUGUAUGGAAUUACUUGUUACAUGUCAAAUAUGAUUUGUCAUGAUAUAAUCUAAUAAAAUUAUAUAAACAUUUUCAUCGUUAAUUUAAAAGAGAUUGCCAAUAUUUUACAUUCCAUACAGUAAUACGUGUUAGUUAUUUUCAUUAUUUUCUAUUAUUUUAUGAAGAUGUUAGUUUUUUUCCAAAUAAAUGGACUAAAAGAUUAUAAAAAUACACUUAAUUCAACCAUUUCAUUAUAUUAUUGACAGGUUUACAUGCAUUGAUGUUAUCAAUGUUGACCUAAAAAAAAAAAGAAGAAUUCUUUAUUUAAAAUUUACUAUAAAAAAUAACAAUUUUUUAUAGUAAAUUUUAAAUAAAAAAGAAUUCUUCUUUUUUUUUUAAAAAGAAAUCAAGUCAUGCCUAAAUAUAAUAUAUCUGGAAUGUGCCUUGGCUAUCCAUGUGUGGACAUAAGUCCACUGCAGGUUUCCAUUCAAAUCAGAUUGAAUGAUUACCUAUCAAAUUCAGAUAACAUUGCCAUCUCUGAUAGCAACAUGAUGGUAAUUCUCUAUGAAUGGUAUGAAUCUGUGGACACAACUCUCCCAUUGCAGAACUCGAACAUUUACAGUUUAUUUUUCCAAGACAAGGCACGAAGUUGAUAGUUUGAUGAACAAAAGUUCGUUGUAAACAAGACACUCUAUUCACACUUCUACAACAUAAAAAAACUGGGUUUCAGUUUUACAAGUCAUUGGUUAAAUGCAAAGGAAAAAAAAAAUACAUGGCACAGACCAAGACACGUUCUCAUGAUGUAAAAGGAAAAUGAUGUGCAGCUAUACCUAAUUCUCUAGCACAAACCCUGUCCCCUUCAAAGACAGGUCAAAAAGACAAGGGAAUAAAGCAGCUCCUUUUGUAGAAGGAGAAACUGCAAUAACCAGUCAAUGCCUGAUUCCUCUUCUUAUCUUGCUAUGACUGCAUUAGUACAAGAUUCCUGCUUCACUCUAGAAUUAGUGGCAUCCUACUUUCCAGGAAAGUUAUUUACUCAGAAAUCGAAUAUUUUCAAUUCAAUGGAAUAUAUGGAUUCUAAACAAGCAUUCAGUGCUGUAUUAUUAUUGAAGGGCCAAGGUUUUGGAAUCUUUACUGCUUUUAAUGACCGUAUAGGCAAACCAAUGACAGGCCUGUGGUGGAACAACAUGGUUGAAAAGGAAAUGAUGAAGCAAUCGUGUAUUCGAACAGAAGUAUUAAUUUCGGCGGUAAUCCAUCUUAGAGCAGGCAAAGAAGACAUGGCAAUACACAUGAACCGGUGAUCAGAUUUUCACAUCUAAAUAAAUCAGUUGCAAAUUUCUAUAAUUAUUGUUUUUUGCAGUAACUAGAGAAAAUUUCUAUGAGCUUUCGAAAUAAAAGCUUUAGAAGGCUUUAAUAAUACAGGCAUAUGAGCUUACAGAGCUAGUUCGCUCUUCGGUUAAAAUUGUACAGAGAAGCUUAUCAAAAUCUUUAACUAAUAUUAAGGCUUAAAUCAGAGACAAAGUGGCAUGCCCUCAUAGUUUCCUGAGCUUGUUACCAACACCAUCUUUUUGAGAAGAUGAGGAUGACGAGGAAGACAAAACAGAGCGGUUAAUCACAGCCUUGUCCUUGUUAAAUGCCUUUUGAACAUCCUCUUUAAGUUCCAUGAAACGUGUCCUCUUGAUUCUUUGUUCAUCUGGGGUGCCCUUUUCAAGGAAAAACAAAUCAGGGAGGUCAUCCUCCAUGAACUUAUCAAGCACUUCAGAGCAAUUAGGGAAGUAUCGUCGGCCCAUUUCCACUGUCAUUAUGACAAACACAAUUCAUAUGAGAAUAGUUGCAACGACUGUAUAGUUUAAAUUUCUAGACCAUAUGUGAUGUUUACUUUGCUUAAUUGUGAGGACUUCCUGGGGAUUCAAUAGUUUCAGUUAGCUUCAAAAUUUUAGGACUUUUGUGAUAAUAUGUUAUAACAUGUCCUGAGAUUGAUUUUUCAAACAAAAGGAUUUAAAGCUGGCAAGUACCUGUUUUCAUUAGGGCUUCCAUCCUAGAACGAAGUCUUUUGUUCUGCAUAAUUGGUGUCUCAUUCAGGUCAACCUCCCUCAAAUUCCCGCUAGAACCUUUUGAUGCAGCAAGACCAGCAAAUUCUGAUGUUGUUGCAGCAUGUGCAAUGUCCAUUGCUAGCUUUGCUUCAGUAGGGAAGAAUAAUCGUGCAAAUGCCACUGUGAUGUACACCACAACACUUGAUCAUACAUUUGAUUGUAAGUCAUGAUAGAGGACCCAUUUGAAUAUAUCAGGAUCAUAAUUGAACAUUAGGCGCUAAAACCAUAUAUAAAUAGGAUGUCUUCACCUCUGUAAGCAUCAAAUAGUAAUGAGAAAAUGUCUAUUUUCAUCAAGCCUGCUUGGUUGAUCAGGAAACUAAAAAUAGACAGAACAUAAAAUCUCCUAUUUGAACAAUAGCAGACAGAACAAUUAGCAGGACCCAGAACCAAAACGAAGGAACUUAAAGCUCAAAUAAAGCAGCCAGAAGGUCAGUGAUGAUGAUAUCUAGGUAUCUCGACAGAGUAUUGAAAACAUCAUUCCCGCACUUCUCUUUAUGAGCAAGAAAGAGAUUUCAAGAAAAUAACCAAAAAUUUCAGCUUUUGACAUAUUAAUCUUGAAAUUCGUGGGAACCAGGCAAGUUAACUGUAUUCUGGAACAUAAUUUUGAAGAUUAACCCAAGAAAUAAGUAGUCAAUUUUAAAUUCAACGCGAUCCAAAAGCAUAAUCCAGUCCCAUUGAGCAUGCAUUUGAACUGCAUACUGGCUUUAGCAAAAAUACAAGUGAGUUGAAUCCAAAAUUAUCAUGUGCAGGAUAAUAUACCUCUGUUCUCCAGGUAUAACAGCUUCAUGUGCAGAUCAUCAACCAUUGUAUGGGAAGUGAUGGAAGCACUCCCACCCAGUGGAUUCCUUCUCAUUUCCCUCUCUAAAAUAUCGAUGCAUAACCUGUCUUUGUUUGCUU